UACGUAGGAUGCAAGCGUUGUCCGGAAUUAUUGGGCGUAAAGAGCGCGCAGGCGGUCUAUCAAGUCAGAUGUGAAAUAUCCAGGCUUAACCUGGAGGGGUCAUUUGAAACUGGUAGACUAGAGUACAGCAGAGGAUAGUGGAAUUCCCGGUGUAGUGGUGAAAUGCGUAGAUAUCGGGAGGAACACCAGUGGCGAAGGCGACUAUCUGGGCUGAAACUGACGCUGAGGCGCGAAAGCGUGGGGAGCGAACAGG
rnacentral:rRNA from 1 species